rnacentral:rRNA from 1 species
GAUGAACGCUAGCGGCAGGCUUAAUACAUGCAAGUCGAACGAAGGCUUCGGCCUUAGUGGCGCACGGGUGCGUAACGCGUGGGAAUCUGCCCUUGGGUUCGGAAUAACGUCGGGAAACUGACGCUAAUACCGGAUGAUGACGUAAGUCCAAAGAUUUAUCGCCCAGGGAUGAGCCCGCGUAGGAUUAGCUAGUUGGUGAGGUAAAGGCUCACCAAGGCGACGAUCCUUAGCUGGUCUGAGAGGAUGAUCAGCCACACUGGGACUGAGACACGGCCCAGACUCCUACGGGAGGCAGCAGUAGGGAAUAUUGGACAAUGGGCGAAAGCCUGAUCCAGCAAUGCCGCGUGAGUGAUGAAGGCCUUAGGGUUGUAAAGCUCUUUUACCCGGGAUGAUAAUGACAGUACCGGGAGAAUAAGCCCCGGCUAACUCCGUGCCAGCAGCCGCCGUAAAAC